rnacentral:rRNA from 2 species
GGACCAGACUCCUACGGGAGGCAGCAGUAAGGAAUAUUGGUCAAUGGAGGCAACUCUGAACCAGCCAUGCCGCGUGCAGGAAGACUGCCCUAUGGGUUGUAAACUGCUUUUAUCCGGGAAUAAACCUCUGCUCGUGAGCAGAGCUGAAUGUACCGGAAGAAUAAGGAUCGGCUAACUCCGUGCCAGCAGCCGCGGUAAUACGGAGGAUCCAAGCGUUAUCCGGAUUUAUUGGGUUUAAAGGGUGCGUAGGCGGCCUGUUAAGUCAGGGGUGAAAGACGGUAGCUCAACUAUCGCAGUGCCCUUGAUACUGAUGGGCUUGAAUGGACUAGAGGUAGGCGGAAUGAGACAAGUAGCGGUGAAAUGCAUAGAUAUGUCUCAGAACACCGAUUGCGAAGGCAGCUUACUAUGGUCUUAUUGACGCUGAGGCACGAAAGCGUGGGGAUCAAACAGGAUUAGAUACCCUGGUAGUCCACGCCCUAAACGAUGAACACUCGCUGUUGGCGAUACACAGUCAGCGGCUAAGCGAAAGCGUUAAGUGUUCCACCUGGGGAGUACGCCCGCAAGGGUGAAACUCAAAGGAAUUGACGGGGGCCCGCACAAGCGGAGGAGCAUGUGGUUUAAUUCGAUGAUACGCGAGGAACCUUACCCGGGCUUGAAAGUUAGUGAAUGAUCUAGAGAUAGAUCAGUGAGCAAUCACACGAAACUAGGUGCUGCAUGGCUGUCGUCAGCUCGUGCCGUGAGGUGUUGGGUUAAGUCCCGCAACGAGCGCAACCCCUAUGUUUAGUUGCCAGCAUGUAAAGGUGGGGACUCUAAACAGACUGCCUGUGCAAACAGAGAGGAAGGAGGGGACGACGUCAAGUCAUCAUGGCCCUUACGUCCGGGGCUACACACGUGCUACAAUGGACGGUACAGAGGGCAGCUACAUAGCAAUAUGAUGCGAAUCUCACAAAGCCGUUCACAGUUCGGAUUGGGGUCUGCAACUCGACCCCAUGAAGUUGGAUUCGCUAGUAAUCGCGUAUCAGCAA